AACGCGAAGAACCUUACCCAGGCUCGAAAUGUAGAGGACGAUACCAGAGAUGGUAUUUCCCGUAAGGGUCUCUAUAUAGGUGCUGCAUGGCUGUCGUCAGCUCGUGCCGUGAGGUGUUGGGUUAAGUCCCGCAACGAGCGAAACCCUUAUUAUUAGUUGCCAGCACGUUAAGGUGGGCACUCUAAUGAGACUGCCUAGGUGAACUAGGAGGAAGGUGAGGAUGACGUCAAGUCCGCAUGGCCUUUAUGUCUGGGGCUACACAGGUGCUACAAUGGUCGGUACAGAAGGCAGCGAAACCGCGAGGUGGAGCAAAUCCCUAAAGCCGAUCUCAGUUCGGAUUGUAGUCUGCAACUCGACUACAUGAAGCCGGAAUUGCUAGUAAUGACGUGUCAGCAACAACGUCGUGAAUCCGUUCCCGGGCCUUGUACACACCGGAGUA
rnacentral:rRNA from 1 species